UUUGUUGAUGACAAAUAGAUUCAUGUUGUCACUGAAAGAUUUCCCUUUGAAAGCCUACAAUAAUUACUAGCCAGGAGGAUGGAUUGAAAUGAAUCCUUCAAUAGAUUCUUUGCUAAAAGUACCAUAAAAAAAUGAUCAUCUCACUGGUCUUCAACAGUGUAAAAGAAUCCUCCAAUAGUCUUUUCUGGUGUAUCUUUCUACCUCCAGAGAAACCAUGUUGUUAUACAUCCAAUGAACAUGGAACACUUGCAAUGAUCAAUCAUCAAUGGCACUGAACAAGCCAAUGCUGCAGAAGUGGGAUAGCAUGAUUGCAAGUGAAACAAUCAAAAGGGCAGUUGGAUAAGAGUGCCAAAACCACCAACAUUGAUCCUUGGAAGCUUAUCUCAUUCCCUGUAGAACCCUGCAACAAGACAGAGAAGAGGAAUCAAGCAAUGCAAGUGUGUGUGUGUGUGUGUGUGAUGAUGGAUGCAGAAGGCAUCAGUGCACUGCCUACACUGCCCCUUCAUUUUGCACUUGUGGAUCUGAAAACAUUUUUCCACACUCAUGAGGUGCAAGCACAGUACAUGUUUUGUAUUAUAAAGACAAGGUUUGAUUAGGCAAUGGAGGUGGGGCAGUGAGAUGGUCCUUGCAUCAACUAGAAGAGGAAAAGGAUGAGUGAAAUCUCAUGCCAAAAGAUAAAGUAGAUGUCUCCAAGACCUGCCCAAGAAGGAUUGAGGAUAAUACUUACAUGGGAUGGUGGAAUAAUGCCAUAUCCUUCUCUCAGCUUCCUGUCUGGCAACCAUCCUUAUUUUUCAUUUUUUUCUGAUGCAAAUUUGAUUUUGUUUUGCUAGAAUCCAAUCAAGUACAAUGAAGAUAACAUCAUGACUCCCCUGUUCAAGUGAAAUCCUAUUCCCCAUAUAUACUCUGAAAUCAAACACACUUUAGAUAGAGAAAGAAAUACUUUUCACAGAAACUUGGUUUAACACUACCUAAUAAUCCAUAUAAUUAUUCAUUCAAGGAAAAUAAUUUUGAACU
rnacentral:lncRNA from 1 species